rnacentral:lncRNA from 1 species
UGGAAAUAAUUAAAAGGGGUGAACCCCUUUCACCCCCAAACCCACGAAACCAGCAGAAAAUGAAAUGGGAAUAAAAUCCCUAAAACCAAAGUCCCACUUUUCUUCUCAAUUCCUUUCUUUUCACGCAGCAGGGAUGGCCAUGGCACGGAAUCCGUUUUCUUCCUUCUUUCCAAUCGGUAGUGUUCAUGGCGACUAAAGGUUGUUGAAGAUGGAAGCCGAAUUGAUCCAGCCGGAAGAACCUAUUUCAGUGACGGUUCGUGGUGGGUUGCGNN